CGGCGCUGGGUGCUCCUGGUAGCCAUAUAAAUAUCCAGCCCCGUUAGCAAUCGCAAAAUCUUGGCCCGACUAACGGUGACAGCGGUGCUGCAAUUUCUCUGCGCGGUACGUCAUCUCUCUAACACCGCUUUCCAGACAGGGCAGCCGGUCCCCAGAGCGCUCGGUGGAGGCAGUCCCGGGGAUCGAAUAAAAGCGCAACGAUCGUUACACGCAUGCCUCUCAAGCGUAAGUUGUGCAGAGAUUUCCACUGAGCUGCAUAAAAUGACCCCUGGUCCCUUUCUUGGCUGGACAGAUGUAGAGAUUAAUUGUAAAUAGAUCUGGUUUUAGCUCCACAUGUUAAAUAAACACUCAGUUCUCCA